ensembl:misc_RNA Y_RNA Y RNA
GGCUGGUCUGAGUACAGUAGUGUUUACAAUUAAUUGAUCCCAACCAGUUAUACGGAUGUUUUUGUUCCUUUUGCAUUCCUACUGCUUUACUUGACUAGCUUUAA